GGUGCAGUUCAGUGGUGUAGCGCUUGCCUAGCCUGCAUGUGGUCCUGGGUUCUAUCCCCAGCACCA
rnacentral:tRNA from 1 species